UUUUUUUUUUUAAAUAGCAACACUGAAUAAACUGUCUCUGUCAAAGAAAGGUGAUCAAGUGACUGGAGAUAAUAAAGAAGGGUUUCAGUCCGUGGGAUUUAAAAAAUCCACCCAAGAGCCUGGUGACGCUCUGACCCACAGUCUGUGAAGCAGCCAGCUGGAAACUGCAUACAGCAACCCUAAUGGUCAGGACUGCACUGACGGCUUCCCUCCUUUUUGCCCUUGCUUCCAACUUAGGACCAACAGGGAGAACCAAAUAGGCACCCUCUUACCAGUCAGGUAGGAUCCCCUGACUGGAUACAGGAGAUGGAAAUAAAUUGUUUAGGCAGAUAGGGCAAAAGAGUCCUUGGCAGAACUCUAACAAAAAACAUCCCAAGAAAUCAUUUCUUUCUAACAAAGAGCAGCCUGAAAGAUGGAGCUGCAAACAUAGAUGAGGAAGCUGGAAGCUUGCAGGGGGGUGGGGGAGGCCUGCAGCUGCACUGAUAAAAGGGACUACCUGGCGCCAGGCAUGUCCACCAUGGGGGGUUCACCUUCCCUAAUUAUUUUUUGUUGUUGUUAACACAUGCACAGUAAGAAAGAAAUAAGCAACAUGGAGUAGCUACCCACGUGCGUAAUAAAAGAUUGGUGUGGGGGCGUCCAGAGAUUCGUGCCCUAUGCAGAUGGCACACCUGGUCCUGUUUUUUCGCACCCGAUGUAGAUCAGACACUGCUCCCCACUAGCUCAUCUAUAAAAAUCUUUGCAUUCCACUGUGCAUCAGCGACCUAUUUUUCCGGGACCCCUCUCUGUAGCAGAGAGCUAUUCUCUUUCUUUCACGUAUUAAAUUUCCACUCUUAACCUCACCCUUUGUGUGUCCUCGCCCUUGAUCUCUGUGGCUGUGAGACAAUGAACCUUGGGUGUCACCCCAGACAAUGAGGCCACUUCACUAGCAGCCGCCUCUGGUGGCUGGCAACCCCAUCAGGACUCCUCUUCCCCUUUUCCACCGCAGAUUUCCCAUUCCUCUCCCUGCCUUUGAGUCUCUGCCAAACAUUAUUGAGCUGCAUGAAAGAACCUUAAAUGCAUAUUACUAACUGAAAGAAACUGAUCUGAAAAGGCUGCAUACUGUAAGAUUCCAACUCUGUCACAUUCUGGAAAAGGCACAACCAUGGAGACAGUAAGAAGAGCAGUGGUUGGCAGGGGUUGGGGGAGAGAGGGAUGAACAGGCAGAGCACAGGGGAUUUGCCGGACUGUGAAACUACUCUGUAUGAUAUGACAGUGGUGGAUAUGGCAUUAGACAUCUGUUCAAACCCACAGAAUGUACUGAGGACUAAACUGACAUUUUUUCUCUCUUGCCCAAAUUCCUAUCUAAGGGGCCUGGGGAGUCAUACCCUAGAAACUGACAUCUCAACAGAUGGGCUUUAUUUAACCCUAUAUAUAACACAGCUUUCUUUCCCACCUGACUCUCGUAUAACAUCAUAUGACAGAUAAAGAAGGAAAUAAAAAUAUUUUACCCCAAAAUAGGAUUUUUUUUGUGUAUUUUGAAAUGGCCCUGCAAAGCUGUCUCUUGUGGGGAAAAUUUGCAUCCGUAAAGAAUCUCUAUUACCAUAACUAGCUCUUUUCCCUUCCAGGCCCUCCCAAUCCUCUAGAGAUUAGCUGAAAGUCUAGCACCUUUUAAAAGUCUGAAUAGGAAAUAUUGGCCAUCUAUUGUCUCUAAGGGCGACCUCCAUGAGACUUCAUCUACAUGGUAAGAACCUUGGUCUCCACAACCCCUUAUCUUGACCCAGAUACUCCUUUGUAUUGAUUGCAGGUUUUUAGAUAAUAACUGUUUCAAUGAAUUGCCAAUCAGAAAAUCUUUGAAUCCACCUAUGACCUGGAAGCCUUCCUCCCACCGACCCCCUUCGAGCUGUCCCACCUUUCUGGACUGAAGCAAUGUACAUCUCACAUGUACUGAUUAAUGACUCAUGUCUCCUUAAAGCGUAUAAAACCAAACUGUAAAACAACUGCUUUGGGCACAUGUUCUCAGGGCCUCUUGAGACUGACUGUACCUUGGGUCACUCACAUUUGGCUCAGAAUAAAUCUCUUCAAAUAUUUUACAGAGUUUGGCUCUUUUCACUGACAAUACAACACCAAGAGUGACCCUAAUGUGAACCACAGACUUUGGGUGAUAAUGAUGUGUUGGUGUGGGUUUAGCAGUAGUAACAAAUGCGCCCUGCUGAUGUGGGACAUGGACAGUAGGGCAGGCUGUGCAUGUGUGUGUGUGUAUGUGUGUGUGUGUGUGUGCGCACGUGAGCACAUGCGGGCCGGUGAGGGGUGUAUAUGAGAGCUCUCUGCACGCUCAGCUCAAUUUUGCUGUGUAAGUAUAGAAAAAAUCUUUCCUCCACCCAUCUAAGGUUUAUUGCCUUGGCCCCACAAAUUUAGACCAAUGAAAGCCAGGUUAACAAGAGAAAACAACGCAUUUAUUAAUUCAUGCAUCGCAAAUACACAUGGGAGAGCUCAGUGAUAAGUAAUAACUCAAAAAGGUGGUUAGAACUUGGGCUUAUUAGCAUCUUAAUGAGAGAGCAAUGUAUUUGUAGAGAAGUGGAAAGACAAAGGAAGGGGACCUUGAGCUUCUUUGGAUAACAAGUUGUGGGAAGGUAGAUCUAUGGGGGAAGCUGACAGAUAAGGUUGAUUUGGUGUGCUUGUGAUGUUGAUUUUUCUGGUGCUACCUCUGGGCUGGUAAGAGCCAUCCUGCCCUUCUGGUAGAUGGGGACAGGGCAGAGAGUUUGUCCUGUGUCUACUUGGUCUCAGUUGUCUUCAGCUCAAAAUAAUCUUUGUAUCAGAGUGGCAUAUUUUGGGAUGGCAUACUCUAAGCCCCUUCAGCUGUGAAUUCAAAACAACUCUAAAAAGUCAAUUAAAAAUUGUAUUCCUAUAACAUGGCCCUUGCUGGUGGGGCUCAGGACACACCACCCCAAAAUAUGACAGUACAAAACCAGAUAUGUGAACACAAAAUAUACUUCUUAGGCAAAUUUUGAUCUUGUUAUUCUAAGAAAUUGCAGACACAGGAGUAGCUCUGAAAAACUGCCCUUUUGUAAAAGAAAUUUAUAACUAUAAAAGAAAUCUACAUUAGUGAAGUAUCUGUAUCAGGAAGAGGGCUGGUUCCAGACAACUUCUAUCACCCCAGAGACUUUUCUCUGCAGAACAAGACACCUUUUAUUCACCAGACAUUGCCUCCCCUCACCCUCCCAGAACUUGUGCCCAUCCUCAGCAAGCCCCAAGCCCCUGUUCCUUUCUGUAACUCAGGACACUAUCUAAGCUUCAUUCAUCUGGCCCUUCUCCUAGUCUAUAGUUUGGGGGACUCCUGUGCAUAUAGAUGUAAUUAAAGUGGUGUUUCUCCUAUUAGCUUUUCUUAUGUCAAUUUAAUUCCUAGCCCAGCCAAAGAACCUAGAAGGGGAAGGGGAAGGGGAAGCCAUUUUUCCCUCCACGACCUGCUUUUCAAGAUCCCAGUUUGUUGGAACCACUUCAGAGUUAACCCUCUGUAAAUACUUGUCAGUCCUCAUCUUUUCAGUGUUUUCACCUGACAUUCACUCUUUAUUGCACUCUUACGUCUCCCAACAGGUUGCUCAAGAAACUCUCCCUUGCUGUGGACACUGCUGACUUCUGUAAAAUACAUUUACAGGAGGCCAUUAGUUUGGACUGAGCUUCUGCACUAGGCCCAACAGACUGAGACGGAGCAUGGACCCCUAUUAGAGGCCUGCUGGGCCUCCUCCAGCAUGGAAACAAAGGAAAAUCUUGAUUUCCUUCAAGGGAAAUUCCAGGUACCUAGCUGGCCUUGAGAAGUAAAUGAGCCACCUGAUAAGCAAGAAGGGAAUAAUAGCUUCAAGUAACAGGCACUCAAUUCCAUGAUGGAAAAUCUAAUGGCCACUUUCCAUUACCACAUCCCAGGAGCAGUCCAGCUUUUGGCUAUGAGGAAUAAGCCUGCUGAGAACAUUCAGCUCCAGGAUUUUGUGUGAAUGGACAGAGAAUUUACAGCUUACCGAGCCAGGCCAUUGCACUUUUGGACAACUCUACUAAAUGGAUUUUCCUCAUGCCAUUGCAUAACUGCUACCUGCCACCAGAGCCUCAGAAAUACAUGGUUUUCCAUCAAGCACUCAUGGAACAUGUAACUGUGGGCGCUUCUAGGGCGGUUCAUGAUGGAUCCUCCAAGAUCAACUAAAUAUAAAACAAGCUCCCAGCUGAGGCAGCUGCUCUCGCCUCUUCUUUCACUCGCUCCUGGCAGCACAGCAAUCUCUGCAAGUUACUUGGACCCUCAGGACUCCUUGUUCAAGUGCAAUGGAGGACCAUGCAGAUGGCAGGGAAAACCAAAGAAAGCUCAGGUGGCCCAUCAUGGCUGUCAUCGGUGGAAGAACGUCUCUAUUUAACACUGAACCUUAGUAAUGA